rnacentral:ncRNA from 1 species
AUUUAUAAGAAUAUGAUGUUGGUUCAGAUUAAGCGCUAAAUAAGGACAUGACACAUGCGAAUCAUACGUUUAUUAUUGAUAAGAUAAUAAAUAUGUGGUGUAAACGUGAGUAAUUUUAUUAGGAAUUAAUGAACUAUAGAAUAAGCUAAAUACUUAAUAUAUUAUUAUAUAAAAAUAAUUUAUAUAAUAAAAAGGAUAUAUAUAUAAUAUAUAUUUAUCUAUAGUCAAGCCAAUAAUGGUUUAGGUAGUAGGUUUAUUAAGAGUUAAACCUAGCCAACGAUCCAUAAUCGAUAAUGAAAGUUAGAACGAUCACGUUGACUCUGAAAUAUAGUCAAUAUCUAUAAGAUACAGCAGUGAGGAAUAUUGGACAAUGAUCGAAAGAUUGAUCCAGUUACUUAUUAGGAUGAUAUAUAAAAAUAUUUUAUUUUAUUUAUAAAUAUUUAAUAUUUAUUAAUAAUAAUAAUAAUAAUAUAUAUAUAUAAAUUGAUUAAAAAUAAAAUCCAUAAAUAAUUAAAAUAAUGAUAUUAAUUACCAUAUAUAUUUUAUAUGGAUAUAUAUAUUAAUAAUAAUAUUAAUUUAUUAUUAUUAAUAAUAUAUUUUAAUAGUCCUGACUAAUAUUUGUGCCAGCAGUCGCGGUAACACAAAGAGGGCGAGCGUUAAUCAUAAUGGUUUAAAGGAUCCGUAGAAUGAAUUAUAUAUUAUAAUUUAGAGUUAAUAAAAUUAAUUAAAGAAUUAUAAUAGUAAAGAUGAAAUAAUAAUAAUAAUUAUAAGACUAAUAUAUGUGAAAAUAUUAAUUAAAUAUUAACUGACAUUGAGGGAUUAAAACUAGAGUAGCGAAACGGAUUCGAUACCCGUGUAGUUCUAGUAGUAAACUAUGAAUACAAUUAUUUAUAAUAUAUAUUAUAUAUAAAUAAUAAAUGAAAAUGAAAGUAUUCCACCUGAAGAGUACGUUAGCAAUAAUGAAACUCAAAACAAUAGACGGUUACAGACUUAAGCAGUGGAGCAUGUUAUUUAAUUCGAUAAUCCACGACUAACCUUACCAUAUUUUGAAUAUUAUAAUAAUUAUUAUAAUUAUUAUAUUACAGGCGUUACAUUGUUGUCUUUAGUUCGUGCUGCAAAGUUUUAGAUUAAGUUCAUAAACGAACAAAACUCCAUAUAUAUAAUUUUAAUUAUAUAUAAUUUUAUAUUAUUUAUUAAUAUAAAGAAAGGAAUUAAGACAAAUCAUAAUGAUCCUUAUAAUAUGGGUAAUAGACGUGCUAUAAUAAAAUGAUAAUAAAAUUAUAUAAAAUAUAUUUAAUUAUAUUUAAUUAAUAAUAUAAAACAUUUUAAUUUUUAAUAUAUUUUUUUAUUAUAUAUUAAUAUGAAUUAUAAUCUGAAAUUCGAUUAUAUGAAAAAAGAAUUGCUAGUAAUACGUAAAUUAGUAUGUUACGGUGAAUAUUCUAACUGUUUCGCACUAAUCACUCAUCACGCGUUGAAACAUAUUAUUAUCUUAUUAUUUAUAUAAUAUUUUUUAAUAAAUAUUAAUAAUUAUUAAUUUAUAUUUAUUUAUAUCAGAAAUAAUAUGAAUUAAUGCGAAGUUGAAAUACAGUUACCGUAGGGGAACCUGCGGUGGGCUUAUAAAUAUC